rnacentral:rRNA from 1 species
GAUGAACGCUAGCGGCAGGCUUAACACAUGCCAGUCGAGGGGCAGCGCGGGAUAGCAAUAUCCUGGCGGCGACCGGCGGAAGGGUGCGUAACGCGUGAGCGACAUGCCCGUUGCCCGGGGACAACCGGUGGAAACGCCGACUAAUCCCCGAUGGGAUAUUGUGCCGCAUGGCACGAUAUUGAAAGUUACGGCGGCGACGGAUUGGCUCGCGUCCGAUUAGCUUGUUGGCGGGGUAACGGCCCACCAAGGCUGCGAUCGGUAGGGGUUCUGAGAGGAAGGCCCCCCACAAUGGGACUGAGACACGGCCCAUACUCCUACGGGAGGCAGCAGUGAGGAAUAGUGGUCAAUGGGCGGAAGCCUGAACCAGCCAUGCCGCGUGCGGGAAGGAGGCCCUAUGGGCUGUGAACCGCUUUUGCCUGGGGGCAAUAAGGGCGUCGCGCACGUCCGAUGAGAGUACCAGGCGAAUAAGCAUCGGCUAACUCCGUG